rnacentral:rRNA from 13 species
GGGUUGUGAGGUUAAGCGACUAAGCGUACACGGUGGAUGCCCUGGCAGUCAGAGGCGAUGAAGGGCGUGCUAAUCUGCGAUAAGCGCCGGUAAGGUGAUAUGAACCGUUAUAACCGGCGAUACCCGAAUGGGGAAACCCAGUGUGAUUCGUCACACUAUCAUUAACUGAAUCCAUAGGUUAAUGAGGCGAACCGGGGGAACUGAAACAUCUAAGUACCCCGAGGAAAAGAAAUCAACCGAGAUUCCCCCAGUAGCGGCGAGCGAACGGGGAGGAGCCCAGAGCCUGAAUCAGCAUGUGUGUUAGUGGAAGCGUCUGGAAAGGCGCGCGAUACAGGGUGACAGCCCCGUACACAAAAGCGCAUGUGCUGUGAGCUCGAUGAGUAGGGCGGGACACGUGGUAUCCUGUCUGAAUAUGGGGGGACCAUCCUCCAAGGCUAAAUACUCCUGACUGACCGAUAGUGAACCAGUACCGUGAGGGAAAGGCGAAAAGAACCCCGGCGAGGGGAGUGAAAAAGAACCUGAAACCGUGUACGUACAAGCAGUGGGAGCACAGGUUUACCUGUGUGACUGCGUACCUUUUGUAUAAUGGGUCAGCGACUUAUAUUCUGUAGCAAGGUUAACCGUAUAGGGGAGCCGGAGGGAAACCGAGUCUUAACCGGGCGUUAAGUUGCAGGGUAUAGACCCGAAACCCGGUGAUCUAGCCAUGGGCAGGUUGAAGGUUGGGUAACACUAACUGGAGGACCGAACCGACUAAUGUUGAAAAAUUAGCGGAUGACCUGUGGCUGGGGGUGAAAGGCCAAUCAAACCGGGAGAUAGCUGGUUCUCCCCGAAAGCUAUUUAGGUAGCGCCUCGUGAAUUCAUCUCCGGGGGUAGAGCACUGUUUCGGCUAGGGGGCCAUCCCGGCUUACCAACCCGAUGCAAACUGCGAAUACCGGAGAAUGUUAUCACGGGAGACACACGGCGGGUGCUAACGUCCGUCGUGAAGAGGGAAACAACCCAGACCGCCAGCUAAGGUCCCAAAGUCAUGGUUAAGUGGGAAACGAUGUGGGAAGGCCCAGACAGCCAGGAUGUUGGCUUAGAAGCAGCCAUCAUUUAAAGAAAGCGUAAUAGCUCACUGGUCGAGUCGGCCUGCGCGGAAGAUGUAACGGGGCUAAACCAUGCACCGAAGCUGCGGCAGCGAACGUAUCACUUAAAGCGAUUCAGCGGGUUACGAUUGACGGAGCGAAGCGACGUCAAAGCGUAUACAAAGUCGAGUCGGUUUAAGGAUACGUUCGUUGGGUAGGGGAGCGUUCUGUAAGCCUGUGAAGGUGGCCUGUGAGGGUUGCUGGAGGUAUCAGAAGUGCGAAUGCUGACAUAAGUAACGAUAAAGCGGGUGAAAAGCCCGCUCGCCGGAAGACCAAGGGUUCCUGUCCAACGUUAAUCGGGGCAGGGUGAGUCGACCCCUAAGGCGAGGCCGAAAGGCGUAGUCGAUGGGAAACGGGUUAAUAUUCCCGUACUUGGUGUUACUGCGAAGGGGGGACGGAGAAGGCUAUGUUGGCCGGGCGACGGUUGUCCCGGUUUAAGCGUGUAGGCUGGUUUUCCAGGCAAAUCCGGAAAAUCAAGGCUGAGGCGUGACGACGAGGCACUACGGUGCUGAAGCAACAAAUGCCCUGCUUCCAGGAAAAGCCUCUAAGCAUCAGGUAACAUCAAAUCGUACCCCAAACCGACACAGGUGGUCAGGUAGAGAAUACCAAGGCGCUUGAGAGAACUCGGGUGAAGGAACUAGGCAAAAUGGUGCCGUAACUUCGGGAGAAGGCACGCUGACACGUAGGUGAAGUGAUUUACUCACGGAGCUGAAGUCAGUCGAAGAUACCAGCUGGCUGCAACUGUUUAUUAAAAACACAGCACUGUGCAAACACGAAAGUGGACGUAUACGGUGUGACGCCUGCCCGGUGCCGGAAGGUUAAUUGAUGGGGUCAGCGCAAGCGAAGCUCCUGAUCGAAGCCCCGGUAAACGGCGGCCGUAACUAUAACGGUCCUAAGGUAGCGAAAUUCCUUGUCGGGUAAGUUCCGACCUGCACGAAUGGCGUAAUGAUGGCCAGGCUGUCUCCACCCGAGACUCAGUGAAAUUGAACUCGCUGUGAAGAUGCAGUGUACCCGCGGCAAGACGGAAAGACCCCGUGAACCUUUACUAUAGCUUGACACUGAACAUUGAGCCUUGAUGUGUAGGAUAGGUGGGAGGCUUUGAAGCGUGGACGCCAGUCUGCGUGGAGCCGACCUUGAAAUACCACCCUUUAAUGUUUGAUGUUCUAACGUGGACCCGUGAUCCGGGUUGCGGACAGUGUCUGGUGGGUAGUUUGACUGGGGCGGUCUCCUCCUAAAGAGUAACGGAGGAGCACGAAGGUUGGCUAAUCCUGGUCGGACAUCAGGAGGUUAGUGCAAUGGCAUAAGCCAGCUUGACUGCGAGCGUGACGGCGCGAGCAGGUGCGAAAGCAGGUCAUAGUGAUCCGGUGGUUCUGAAUGGAAGGGCCAUCGCUCAACGGAUAAAAGGUACUCCGGGGAUAACAGGCUGAUACCGCCCAAGAGUUCAUAUCGACGGCGGUGUUUGGCACCUCGAUGUCGGCUCAUCACAUCCUGGGGCUGAAGUAGGUCCCAAGGGUAUGGCUGUUCGCCAUUUAAAGUGGUACGCGAGCUGGGUUUAGAACGUCGUGAGACAGUUCGGUCCCUAUCUGCCGUGGGCGCUGGAGAACUGAGGGGGGCUGCUCCUAGUACGAGAGGACCGGAGUGGACGCAUCACUGGUGUUCGGGUUGUCAUGCCAAUGGCACUGCCCGGUAGCUAAAUGCGGAAGAGAUAAGUGCUGAAAGCAUCUAAGCACGAAACUUGCCCCGAGAUGAGUUCUCCCUGAGACUUAGAGUCUCCUGAAGGAACGUUGAAGACGACGACGUUGAUAGGCCGGGUGUGUAAGCGCAGCGAUGCGUUGAGCUAACCGGUACUAAUGAACCGUGAGGCUUAACCUUACAACGCCGAAG